CGCUAUCUACAGGCUUAACACAUGCAAGUCGAGGGGCAGCAUGGUCUUAGCUUGCUAAGGCCGAUGGCGACCGGCGCACGGGUGAGUAACACGUAUCCAACCUGCCGUCUACUCUUGGACAGCCUUCUGAAAGGAAGAUUAAUACAAGAUGGCAUCAUGAGUCCGCAUGUUCACAUGAUUAAAGGUAUUCCGGUAGACGAUGGGGAUGCGUUCCAUUAGAUAGUAGGCGGGGUAACGGCCCACCUAGUCUUCGAUGGAUAGGGGUUCUGAGAGGAAGGUCCCCCACAUUGGAACUGAGACACGGUCCAAACUCCUACGGGAGGCAGCAGUGAGGAAUAUUGGUCAAUGGGCGAGAGCCUGAACCAGCCAAGUAGCGUGAAGGAUGACUGCCCUAUGGGUUGUAAACUUCUUUUAUAAAGGAAUAAAGUCGGGUAUGGAUACCCGUUUGCAUGUACUUUAUGAAUAAGGAUCGGCUAACUCCGUGCCAGCAGCCGCGGUAAUACGGAGGAUCCGAGCGUUAUCCGGAUUUAUUGGGUUUAAAGGGAGCGUAGAUGGAUGUUUAAGUCAGUUGUGAAAGUUUGCGGCUCAGCCGUAAAAUUGCAGUUGAUACUGGAUAUCUUGAGUGCAGUUGAGGCAGGCGGAAUUCGUGGUGUAGCGGUGAAAUGCUUAGAUAUCACGAAGAACUCCGAUUGCGAAGGCAGCCUGCUAAGCUGCAACUGACAUUGAGGCUCGAAAGUGUGGGUAUCAAACAGGAUUAGAUACCCUGGUAGUCCACACGGUAAACGAUGAAUACUCGCUGUUUGCGAUAUACUGCAAGCGGCCAAGCGAAAGCGUUAAGUAUUCCACCUGGGGAGUACGCCGGCAACGGUGAAACUCAAAGGAAUUGACGGGGGCCCGCACAAGCGGAGGAACAUGUGGUUUAAUUCGAUGAUACGCGAGGAACCUUACCCGGGCUUAAAUUGCAGAUGAAUUACGGUGAAAGCCGUAAGCCGCAAGGCAUCUGUGAAGGUGCUGCAUGGUUGUCGUCAGCUCGUGCCGUGAGGUGUCGGCUUAAGUGCCAUAACGAGCGCAACCCUUGUUGUCAGUUACUAACAGGUUCCGCUGAGGACUCUGACAGGACUGCCAUCGUAAGAUGUGAGGAAGGUGGGGAUGACGUCAAAUCAGCACGGCCCUUACGUCCGGGGCUACACACGUGUUACAAUGGGGGGUACAGAGGGCCGCUACCACGCGAGUGGAUGCCAAUCCCCAAAACCUCUCUCAGUUCGGACUGGAGUCUGCAACCCGACUCCACGAAGCUGGAUUCGCUAGUAAUCGCGCAUCAGCCACGGCGCGGUGAAUACGUUCCCGGGCCUUGUACACACCGCCCGUCAAGCCAUGGGAGCCGGGGGUACCUGAAGUGCGUAACCGCGAGGAGCGCCCUAGGGUAAAACUGGUGACUG
rnacentral:rRNA from 1 species